rnacentral:rRNA from 1 species
CCUGCGUCCGCGGAAGGACA